rnacentral:rRNA from 1 species
GGACAAUCUGCCCAAAAGUCCGGGAUAACCCCGGGAAACUGGGGAUAAUACCGGAUAGGCCACCAAUUGCUGGAAUGGCUUGGUGGUUGAAACGAGAGGCUUUUGGAUGGGUCUGCGGCGGAUUAGGUUGACCGCCGGUUGUAACGUACCGGCGUGCCUGUAAUCCGUACGGGUUGUGGGAGCAAGAGCCCGGAGAUGGAUUCUGAGACACGAAUCCAGGCCCUACGGGGCGCAGCAGGCGCGAAAACUCUACAAUGCAGGCAAUCUGCGAUAGGGGGACAUCGAGUGGCAUCUUCUUAAGGUGCCUGUCCAACCGUCUAAAAAACGGUUGUUAGCAAGGGCCGGGUAAGACCGGUGCCAGCCGCCGCGGUAAUACCGGCGGCUCGAGUGGUGGCCGAUAUUAUUGAGUCUAAAGGGUCCGUAGCCGGCUUUGCAAGUCCCCUGGGAAAUCCAGCGGCUUAACCGUUGGGCGCCCAUGGGAUACUACAUUGCUUGGGACUGGGAGAGGCGAGAGGUACUCGAGGGGUAGGGGUGAAAUCCUGUAAUCCUUCGGGGACCACCGGUGGCGAAGGCGUCUCGCCAGAACAGGUCCGACGGUGAGGGACGAAAGCUAGGGGCACGAACCGGAUUAGAUACCCGGGUAGUCCUAGCCGUAAACGAUGCCCGCUAGGUGUCACGAUAAUCGUGAAUUAUCGUGGUGCCGUAGGGAAGCCGCGAAGCGGGCCACUUGGGAAGUACGACCGCAAGGUUGAAACUUAA